AGGACGGGACGUGGGUAAGAGGAUGGAGGAUCAAUGGACCACUACAAUGUCUUGCAGCUCUGGGGAUACUCACGAUGACAGGACAGCUCCGGACUCCAUCCAGGAGAAGGAACCCGCAGGACCUUGCCCAUCAGCAGGAUUGGGGGAAGGCAGAGAGAAGCUGGCCCGACCAGGACAGGAGGAAGACAUCAGAGAUAGCACCCACUCCCAGCCUCCCACCCCCAGAGCAGAACUGGGGAAACCGCCAGUUCUGCCGAGUUGUGAACAGGCCCAGGGUGGUGCACAUGGACAGGAGGAGCACCACAUGAUCCCACACCUGCGACCGGGAGCUGCCCUUGACCAACCAUCCAGAUAGGGGAAGAUCUGGACCUCAC